CUCAGGUGACUACAGGCUGCCGGGAGCAGAUGACGGCUUGGCAGCUCAGGGACCCGAGGGAGUCACAUCGUUAUUGCUUUCUGCAGUGAAGGGAGCUGGCUCUUGCCAGAAAACAACUGCUGUGCAACCAGAAAUGAACACACCAAGCCCCACGGGGCAGAGGGAAGGCCUCUCUUGAGAUCAUUGUUUGGUUUUGAAAAAAUGGGUUAGGUAGUAGGAAGUGAUUAAUUUUUCUGUGGCUGUCUGCUUCUUGUGCAUGCCGAACGAAGCUGGUUAUGAUGUCUGUUUAUUCAUCCCCUAUCCCCCUCAUGCACUGAUGUUAGCUGGGCUUGGAGAGGCAUUCCUGAGCCCAGGCAAGCACUGCCCUCCUCUCCUGGGAUCCACAAGGUGAAACAGUCAAAAAGCAAGCUGACACGCAAUACCAGCGCUUUCUAUGCAGGCAGGCGCACCCACACUGGCUCAGCAUGCGGGACCUUGCGGCUGGGGAGGAAGAGCCAGGAGCGCUUCCGGAAUUAGGAAGAGAGCACUUCCGGUACUAAGAAAGGAGAACCCAGACGGGGAGAUGUAGUCAGAGAGCAGGGGAGGAAAGCUGUGUGAGUGGAGAUUGGGAGGAGGGAAGAUGGCUGAGCGUGUCGCCUAGGCUCCAGAUCUAAACGCUAAGACCCAUGAGGUGCUUUGCCUGUAGGCAGAAGGGGAUACGAGGUGUCUUGAAACUUGGACUGGCUCUGCUGUGGACAGGAUGGGUGGGAAAUGUUGGGGGAAACUUGAGGCACCCUGUCAUCCAGGCAGAUGAGGGGAGGUCUCUGGGCACUGAGGGAGAAGGUGACAAACUCUUCAGAGACAGAGCGGCAGAACUUGCUGAUUCAUGGGAACUGGUGCCGUGGGGGUUCGGGGCGACCGCCAUAUUGUUCCUUAAGCAACUGUUUAGAUGGGGUUGCUGCAGGCUGGUGGUGGGCAGAGGGAGGGGGCGGAGACCAGGAAUCAGAGAAUCUCAGGCAUGUUAACUAGAAGUGCCCUGUGGCGGGCACAGUGAAGUGCAGUUAUGCAGAUGGAUCCACAUCUGGAAUCUUGGAAAGGGGUCUGUACUGCUGUGUCCAAGAAAAUGAAGACAUAGAUGAGAAAAAGACAUCUGGCCAUUUAUAAAUAUGUCCUAACUCCAACAGGGGGUGAGAUAUUUUAAGGGCAGAUUAAAAAGCAUCAAAAUACAAGUAAGAAAAUAGAAUUUAAUACCAUACUCAUCUGGGUGGAUAGAUAUAUGUCCCAGCAGUGGUGUCUUUGUACAACCAGGAAGAUCUGUGGACUUUGACGAGAAAGCGUCACCUUUAGCAACACGGAACUGUCGGAGCGCCACCCUAACGGCACCACGGAUGUGGCAAGGACACACUUCCACCCCUCUGACCCACGUGCGGUUCACUCGUCUUCACUGCUGCGGCAUCUUCUCUCACUCGCUUAGAUCAGACUGCAUCUUCCCAUCCCUCCCUGCGACGUUUCCCCUGGAGUCUGUAACUGACCAAACCUUCUUGAUUGCUGUCUGCUGCUCAUACACGUUCUCUGGCCUGUUUGUCUGGUAAUAAAUGCUCUCCUUCCUUGGC